rnacentral:rRNA from 1 species
UACGUAGGGGGCUAGCGUUGUCCGGAAUCAUUGGGCGUAAAGAGCGUGUAGGCGGCUCGGUAAGUCCGCUGUAAAAGUCAAAGGCUCAACCUUUGAAUGUCAGUGGAUACUGCCGGGCUAGAGUCCGGAAGAGGCGAGUGGAACUCCUGGUGUAGCGGUGAAAUGCGCAGAUAUCAGGAAGAACACCCGUGGCGAAGGCGGCUCUCUGGUACGUGACUGACGCUGAGACGCGAAAGCGUGGGGAGCAAACAGG